rnacentral:rRNA from 1 species
UUUGAACGCAUAUUGCGGUCCGGGGCCCCUCCCGGACCACGCCUGUCUCAGGGUCGGAUA